GGGUGAGUAACACGUAUGCAACCUGCCCCUGUCAGGGGGACAACCCGCCGAAAGGCGGGCUAAACCCGCGUACAUGCCACCGGGGCAUCCCGGAGGCAGGAAAGGCUUCGGCCGGACAGGGAUGGGCAUGCGGCGCAUUAGGCAGUAGGCGGGGUAACGGCCCACCUAACCGACGAUGCGUAGGGGUUCUGAGAGGAAGGUCCCCCACACUGGUACUGAGACACGGACCAGACUCCUACGGGAGGCAGCAGUGAGGAAUAUUGGUCAAUGGUCGGGAGACUGAACCAGCCAAGCCGCGUGAGGGAUGAAGGUACAGAGUAUCGUAAACCUCUUUUGUCAGGGAACAAAGGCGGGGACGUGUCCCCGGAUGAGUGUACCUGAAGAAAAAGCAUCGGCUAACUCCGUGCCAGCAGCCGCGGUAAUACGGAGGAUGCGAGCGUUAUCCGGAUUUAUUGGGUUUAAAGGGUGCGCAGGCGGUCUGUUAAGUCAGCGGUCAAAGCCCGGGGCUCAACCCCGGCCCGCCGUUGAAACUGGCAGUCUCGAGUUGGAGAGAAGUAUGCGGAAUGCGCGGUGUAGCGGUGAAAUGCAUAGAUAUCGCGCAGAACUCCGAUUGCGAAGGCAGCAUGCCGGCUCCACACUGACGCUGAGGCACGAAAGCGUGGGUAUCGAACAGGAUUAGAUACCCUGGUAGUCCACGCAGUAAACGAUGAAUGCAGGGUGUCCGGG
rnacentral:rRNA from 1 species